rnacentral:rRNA from 1 species
ACGGAAGGCAGCAGUGGGGGAUAUUGCACAAUGGAGGAAACUCUGAUGCAGCAACGCCGCGUGAGGGAAGAAGGUCUUCGGAUUGUAAACCUUUGUUUUUAGUGAAGAAUAAAUGACGGUAGCUAAAGAGGAAGCCACGGCUAACUACGUGCCAGCAGCCGCGGUAAUACGUAGGUGGCAAGCGUUGUCCGGAAUUACUGGGUGUAAAGGGUGCGCAGGCGGGACAGCAAGUUGGAUGUGAAAUACCGGAGCUCAACUCCGGAACUGCAUCCAAAACUGUUGUUCUUGAGUGAAGUAGAGGUAGGCGGAAUUCCGAGUGUAGCGGUGAAAUGCGUAGAUAUUCGGAGGAACACCAGUGGCGAAGGCGGCCUACUGGGCUUUAACUGACGCUGAGGCACGAAAGUAUGGGUAGCAAACAGGAUUAGAUACCCUGGUA